UGUGUGAUGCCAUGCAGCCUGGCAAGUUUAGUGUACCAUCCUUGUAGGGCUGUGCCAUGUGAUACCAUGUCAUGCUGGCUGACAGAGGUGCCAGCCCUAGCUCUGCUGUCCUCCUUGCAGGCUGUGCCAUGCCAGGCCCAAAAAUACCACACUUCCCAAGACAGAAGUGCCACUCCUGCAUGGCUGUGCCGUGCUUUGCUGUGCCAUGCCAUGUCAUCCAAGCUGUCCAAGUUUAAUUGUGUUAUCCAUGCUGGUCUAUGCCAUGCCAUGCCAUACCAUGUUGUGCCAUCAGCACUGUGCCAUGCUAUGGUGUCCCACACCAUGCCAUGCCAUCUUCUCCCUGCCUAUAUUGCCCAGGAUGUCUCCCAAGCAGGACACAACACACCCCCUGCAGCACAGGACAUGCUCCCAUUGGGACAGACAUGUCCCCAUUAUAACACAGCAUGUCCCCAGUGGCACAGAACACAUCCCCUGCAGGACAGGACACAACCCCCUGCACAGAGACAGGCACAGGGGCAGCCCCAGCCAGGUCUCACAGCAGCAGGCGAUGGGAAGCGCCGCCAGUGAAAGGAAACAGCGCGGAUGGAAAUCUGUUCCCUGCCAUCCACAGGGACAUGAAUUAAGGAUGCUCUGGGAGCCGGCACCGCAUUCCUCCUGGGGGUCCAUGGACCCCCCCCCGGGCAGGGCCAUGCCAUCCCCCCACUCUUGCCAGCCGUGGGAAGCCGUGCAAGCUGCGGCAGCUCGCUUCUGAAGACCUCUUGAUAAACAUUUAUAAACAUUUGUAGUAUUUUAAAUUUCCCCUCAAUAAUUUAUGACUAGUUAUUUUAUAUACUUUAAAGUGGGUAAUAAUGUAAAAUUCAUAAGGCGGGAGCGCUCGGAGUGGCAGCGCAGCAUCGCGGGGCUGGGAGCGGAGGCGCAGCCUUCCCCGCCUCCCACAGCUGGAAAAAGCUGGAAAGUUUGGGGCUGCCGUGGCUGUAGCAGAGAGAGCUGAGAGGUUCCUGCUUAGCAGCUCCCCCUCUGCGCAGCUGCUCCAAGGAGUUGACACCGCAAUUGUUUUCUGAAGAGAACAUGCGACUCCCUUCUUAUGUAUUCCCUUUCCCGGUGUUUGUAUUUGCUUCAAAGUCUUCUCAUCACCCUGUUUGGUGACAAAAACUCAUGUCUGGAGAUCAGGAGGCUCGUUCCUGAUUGAUCUGGAAGCAGCAGCUCGGUGCGAGGGAAGGAGUCUAUACGCACCGCAACAGCUCUUUAAUUUCUUAAUUUAAUAUCUGACACGUAAAGAUUCUCAUUAAGCCAGUCAAUGAAGCCUGGAAAUACAAUUUUCGUGCAAACUGUCGCUAUCAUAACUUACACGAAACUUCAGCUGGUGCCCUGUGAGCGGCGUGAUUAAAACCAUUCAUCUUCCC